rnacentral:rRNA from 1 species
GUGAGGGCCCUCUGGGUCCAACCUCCCACCCGUGUUUAUUUUACCUUGUUGCUUCGGCGGGCCCGCCUUAACUGGCCGCCGGGGGGCUUACGCCCCCGGGCCCGCGCCCGCCGAAGACACCCUCGAACUCUGUCUGAAGAUUGUAGUCUGAGUGAAAAUAUAAAUUAUUUAAAACUUUCAACAACGGAUCUCUUGGUUCCGGCAUCGAUGAAGAACGCAGCGAAAUGCGAUACGUAAUGUGAAUUGCAAAUUCAGUGAAUCAUCGAGUCUUUGAACGCACAUUGCGCCCCCUGGUAUUCCGGGGGGCAUGCCUGUCCGAGCGUCAUUUCUGCCCUCAAGCACGGCUUGUGUGUUGGGCCCCGUCCUCCGAUCCCGGGGGACGGGCCCGAAAGGCAGCGGCGGCACCGCGUCCGGUCCUCGAGCGUAUGGGGCUUUGUCACCCGCUCUGUAGGCCCGGCCGGCGCUUGCCGAUCAACCCAAAUUUUUAUCCAGGUUGACCUCGGAUCAGGUAGGGAUACCCGCUG